UACGGUCACCUGACCUUAUGGCAUAUCUCUGCGGCGUUGUGAUGCACAAGGACUUACCUGGAAUUUCCCACCCCUGUAAAGUGUGUUGGAGAUUAUAUAAGGCUAAAAAAAUCCACUUUCGACCCCAAGCGAAGCUCAUCUCGAUCUCGGGAACUCCUGUCUCCAGCACCUUCUAUCCAUCCCACCAUGAACUGGAUUGGGCUAAUCCUGGCAGGUUUGCGUCCAGUUAGCGUCCAACUUCCAGCCAUCCGAAACCAUCCGCAUUAUCCAAUUCCCGCCGAAUGCCCGUGUUGGACAAACCGUCUUCCUUCACUUGGAAGGUGCUCAAUUUCCUAUCCAGUGCGACUGGUUCCGAGGCAGUGAGCCGAACAGAAACAGACAGAUAUUGAAAAUGGGGGAUAACCAGUUCACUUUAAGAGGUCCAGCCUACACAGGGAGGGAAGAUCUAUGGAGAGGAUGCUCCUUAAUGAUCCGAAAUGUCCAAGCCUCUGAUUCUGGACCUUACACCAUCCUAAUGCUGGAAUUCCGGGGAAGUGAAUUCGUAACGGCAGUGGGACAUCUACAAGUUUCUUCCUAAAGAUGCUUGGAAGAUGCUUCUGUCCAUUUGGCUGUCUUGAUCUUUGGAAGAGAAACAAAGGAGCUGCAGUUCGUCAGCUGCAGAGGGAUCCCCAGAAGGGAUCAGCCAUUCACUUUCUCUGUGUUCCCUUCGUCGCUUCUUCCCUUCACCCACAACAACCAUGAAAACAUCUUCUGGCAAAACGGACGUGUCUCCUAAAACAGCUCUUUGCAAUGCGGUUCCCAGGAUCCAAAUCCGAAUUCACUUCUGUGUUGGCUGAUGUAAAACAGCUUGGAAGGUUGCAAUUUGCAAGAAACCUUCUCUACCCCACCCCCACCCCCAUUAUCUCUGAACUGCCAAAUGCUUGAUCGCAAUUCCUCCUCCGCAAAGAGGUGGCUUAUAUGUCAUAGCUGGCCAUCAUCAGCCAUCAAAGCCUAUGAAGCAGAGCUGGGUGGUAUUCAGCCGGUUCACAUCAGUUCGGGAGAACCGGUAGCGGCGACCGGGCGUAAUCCCAUCCUAUAUGGAUUUAUUUUUGACGCCGCAUCCAUGUGUGGACGGCGCGCGUGAGUGAAUUGGCGUCUUUUGUGACGCCAUAUGCAUGUGCUCACAUGUGCUCACAUUUCCGAUGCUAGGCGAACCGGUUGCUAUAGUAUGUGAAUUCCACCUCUGCUAUGAAGCACGUGUGUCAUUCAACAUGUGACAAGAGAGGGAUGGGGGAUGGGGACAUGUCUUUGAAGUUGAAAGCUAAAAGUUGCUUUGGAGCAGUGGUUCUCAACCUUUAUAGUGCUGCGACCCCUUUAAUACAAUUCCCCAUGAUGUGGCGACCCCUUUAAUACAAUUCCCCAUGAUGUGGCGACCCCAACCGUAAAAUUAUUUUCGUUUUGAAUUUAUCGCGCCUGAAGCCGUAUUGGCUAGUGAUCUGAACUGCUUGCGAUUGCCUUGAGGACGGAGGCAUUAAAGCGGAGACUCCUCCCCUAUUAAGUUUAUCGCGCCUGAAGCCAGAUUAGGCUAGCGAUUGGGAGUGAUUGCAGCUGGCUUGAGAGGGAGACAUCAGAGCAAAGAUUUUUCCCUUUUUUAAUUCAUCACGCCUGAAGCCGAAUUCGGCUAGCGAUUUGAAGAGCCUGCAGCUGGCUUGUGGAGUCAACCAUUGGAGCGCGAUUCUUCGACUCGCAAGUAUACUUCCCAUAUUUCCGAUGGUCUUAGGCUACUCCUGGCAAAUCGUCAUUCGACCCCCAACGGGGUCCCGACCCACAGGUUGAGAACCGCUGCUUUGGAGGAACAAAUACAUGCAUACAAUCUAGAGUGGGAUUAUUUCCCCCCCCCAAUGUUAUAUUCAAUUCUAAACAGAAAAAGGUCAAAUGAUCCUACGUUUAGUAAGACCGACAUCUUAAAUUGCAAUCAAUAUCGAUUUAAUAUUUCUCUCUCUUUUCCUUAUUUCCAAUAGUCUAAAUCAAUAUUCCUCAACCUUGGCUGCUUUAAGAGGUAUGGAUAUCAACUCUCAGGAUUCUUGAUUAGGGGCUGACUGGGGAAUUCUGGGAGUUGAACUCCGUAGCUCUUCAAGGUCCAAAAGUUGAAGGGACGUAGUCUAAAGUUAGCUAAACAAUAGAGUGUCAAUAAUCUUCAAUGAAUAUUGAUCUUCAAUGUAUAUUGGAAAUGUAUAUAAUCUUCAAUGUAUAUUGUGCCAAAGCAAUGUAAUCUAUUAAGAUUUCCAACUACCUAAAUAAAUACAGUAUAAUUAUUUGCAGAAGCAUGAAUCUAUUAAUGACCAAGAAUUUUAGAAGGGUUGAUCAAACUUCUUUACCCAGAACUGAAAAUGUUACACACACACACUCUUUAAAAAUUGUGC